GAUGAACGCUGGCGGCGUGCCUAAUACAUGCCAGUCGAGCGAACGGACGAGAAGCUUGCUUUUCUGAUGUUAGCGGCGGACGGGUGAGUAACACGUGGAUAACCUACCUAUAAGACUGGGAUAACUUCGGGAAACCGGAGCUAAUACCGGAUAAUAUUUUGAACCGCAUGGUUCAAAAGUGAAAGACGGUCUUGCUGUCACUUAUAGAUGGAUCCGCGCUGCAUUAGCUAGUUGGUAAGGUAACGGCUUACCAAGGCAACGAUGCAUAGCCGACCUGAGAGGGUGAUCGGCCACACUGGAACUGAGACACGGUCCAGACUCCUACGGGAGGCAGCAGUAGGGAAUCUUCCGCAAUGGGCGAAAGCCUGACGGAGCAACGCCUCGUGAGUGAUGAAGGUCUUCGGAUCGUAAAACUCUGUUAUUAGGGAAGAACAUAUGUGUAAGUAACUGUGCACAUCUUGACGGUACCUAAUCAGAAAGCCACGGCUAACUACGUG
rnacentral:rRNA from 1 species